GAUGAACGCUGGCGGCGUGCCUAAUACAUGCAAGUCGAGCGAACAGACGAGGAGCUUGCUCCUCUGACGUUAGCGGCGGACGGGUGAGUAACACGUGGAUAACCUACCUAUAAGACUGGGAUAACUUCGGGAAACCUGAGCUAAUACCGGAUAAUAUAUUGAACCGCAUGGUUCAAUAGUGAAAGACGGUUUUGCUGUCACUUAUAGAUGGAUCCGCGCCGCAUUAGCUAGUUGGUAAGGUAACGGCUUACCAAGGCAACGAUGCGUAGCCGACCUGAGAGGGUGAUCGGCCACACUGGAACUGAGACACGGUCCAGACUCCUACGGGAGGCAGCAGUAGGGAAUCUUCCGCAAUGGGCGAAAGCCUGACGGAGCAACGCCGCGUGAGUGAUGAAGGUCUUCGGAUCGUAAAACUCUGUUAUUAGGGAAGAACAAAUGUGUAAGUAACUAUGCACGUCUUGACGGUACCUAAACAGAAAGCCACGGCUAACUACGUG
rnacentral:rRNA from 1 species